rnacentral:rRNA from 1 species
UACGGGGGGGGCAAGCGUUGUUCGGAAUUACUGGGCGUAAAGGGCUCGUAGGUGGCCAACUAAGUCAGACGUGAAAUCCCUCGGCUUAACCGGGGAACUGCGUCUGAUACUGGAUGGCUUGAGUUCGGGAGAGGGAUGCGGAAUUCCAGGUGUAGCGGUGAAAUGCGUAGAUAUCAGGAGGAACACCGAUGGCGAAGGCAGGUCUCUGGGCCACUACUGACGCUGAGAAGCGAAAGCAUGGGGAGCGAACAGG